rnacentral:tRNA from 1 species
UUGGUCUGGCUUAUUAGUUAAAUUUCCAAAAGCCAAGUGUGGGUCUCAAAAUAUGUCAAGUACAA